rnacentral:rRNA from 1 species
GAUGAACGCUGGCGGCGUGCCUAAUACAUGCAAGUCGAGCGAACGGACGAGAAGCUUGCUUUUCUGAUGUUAGCGGCGGACGGGUGAGUAACACGUGGAUAACCUACCUAUAAGACUGGGAUAACUUCGGGAAACCGGAGCUAAUACCGGAUAAUAUUUUGAACCGCAUGGUUCAAAAGUGAAAGACGGUCUUGCUGUCACUUAUAGAUGGAUCCGCGCUGCAUUAGCUAGUUGGUAAGGUAACGGCUUACCAAGGCAACGAUGCAUAGCCGACCUGAGAGGGUGAUCGGCCACACUGGAACUGAGACACGGUCCAGACUCCUACGGGAGGCAGCAGUAGGGAAUCUUCCGCUAUGGGCGAAAGCCUGACGGAGCAACGCCGCGUGAGUGAUGAAGGUCUUCGGAUCGUAAAACUCUGUUAUUAGGGAAGAACAUAUGUGUAAGUAACUGUGCACAUCUUGACGGUACCUAAUCAGAAAGCCACGGCUAACUACGUG